UGAAAUCCUAAAUUUGCAGCCAGUUG
rnacentral:piRNA from 1 species